GUUUAAGCCCUGACAUUAGAGUAUUUCAGGAUCGUGUGAUAGAGAACGAGAUUUGGGUAAAUAACUAACCUACAUUCAGAUAUUAUGGGACAGUGAGGAUCAGUCAACAGUCUUGCUGAAAAACCUCAAAUACUGAAGCUGGUGGAUGAAGCAAAGAGUUUGGAGAUGGAGGUCCAGAGAGGGCGUGAUUCGAGUUCAGGUCACCGGGGAAGUGUAUAUGGUCAGAGAAGCGGGCCUAGUCCAUCGGAGUCGAGCAAUAUAAGGAGCAUCAUCAGUAGCCCCGGCAGCCGAAGCAGGAAAUGGCCCCAGUGAAUUGCUAAGCUAGCCUAAUCUUUAGUGCAUUCUGCAAGGUGUCGUAUCCGGGUGAUGUAUUUGCUUGCCCCGAUUUGGUUUUGCAAUCUUUUGAACCAUCCGUGGGAAGUGUAAGAUGUGAGGUUUGUUCGCGGUCCCUGUUCUUCAUCUGUAAAUCGCGUGGUCCAUUUUGGUCGGCCAUUAUACAUACAUUAGCGAAAAGGCGGACUUUCCGCAGCCACAUUGUAAUUGUUUAUCCGGCAUCAUUACUACAUGCUAGACGUGCAGACAUUCCAGACCUGGGGCAGCUGCAGAUGAAAAGCUCGAACUAGGAAAUUAGGAACAGUGGAAUCUCUUGUAAUCCUCAUCAUGAAAAGGAGCCUGAUGGCCAGUGACAUGAACCUUGAGCUGUGUGAUGAAUCUGUCGUUUGAGCUUUUGGUACAUCCACGCAAUUCACCAAACUAUUUGUACUGUAAUAACUUCAUAUAGACCUCCAAGACGACGGCUCUUAAC